CGGACUUCGGUUUCAUUAAAUAUGCACGGAAUGGAACUGAAGCGACAUAUCUCACAUUGUGUAAUUACACACACGUAUCGGCACAUAUUCCGGGGUGCCCUUCGGGGUCGGUAAUAUGGGAUACGUGGAGGCAUAACC
rnacentral:sRNA from 1 species